rnacentral:lncRNA from 1 species
AAAUUUAAAAAGAAAACCCUGAAGUUCCAUUUCCCUCCCUAUAUAAACUCAUGCUUUACCACUCUUUCAUAUAUCUUAUCUCAAUUUGUCGCCGUCACACUCAUGAAGAGCGCUCAAGACAAUAACAGUGACGAUGAAGAUGUUGGAGUCCAUUUCAAAUUCAUCAAAAUUGAAUCAAUGAGUCACCAUGUUAAAGUAUUAGAUUUAUCUUCUCUUCUUAAUUAAUUAACCAUUUCCGUUAUUUGAUAAUAUUGUGUUAUCCUUUUGUUCUUGAUUUCUAACCCUUGACCCCAUCAAUGUGCUUACUUUAUGAAGCCUUUGGGCUUGAAUUAACUCUUUCUUGAAAAUACUCCAUGCUUCCAGAUAUCAUCACAUGUAAAAGAAAAAGUUUCGUUUUUAUGAUAAACACUCUCCAUCCCCUUUUUGUUUUCGAAUCUCAUUUCAUAGAUCUUACGUUAACUGAUUUUAAAACAUGAAUCUGAAUCUAUUAAGUAUUCUAUGUUGAUUGAGUAGUUACUUUCGUAAACCAUAUCUCUUAUUUAAACAUUAGCAGAAAGAGUAUCGUGUUAUGUACAGAAACUUUUGCUUAUCUAUCAUCAUUGGUUUUUAGCUAGAUUUUGUGUUUGAGUUGUCUUUUUUUUCAAUUUAGUUUUUGCAAGCAACCAAUUGUGUGUUCGCAAUCUGAUUUCCCUUUGACAAGUGUACAGGUAAAGCAAUAAUAGCAUUUAACAUCUGAUGAUGUUAAAGGUUAAAAUUUUUAUUUUCUUCUCUUUGUUUCUUUUAUUCUUUGCAGAGAGAAUAUGCACUCCCAGCAGCAACAGCAGCAGCAACAACAGCAGCAACAAAAGAGGAAGUAGCAUUAGAGUAGCAUAAUAGUAGCAGCAGCAGUAGCAAUAGUAGUGUGACAUACACGGAAUGUCACCAAAACCAAGCAAGGACUAUGUAUAUAUGUUAUAUCUCUAGGUCACUAAAACCAAGCAAGGACUAUGUGUAUAUGUUAAUUUCUAGGUCACUAAAACCAAGCAAGGACUAUGUCCUUAUGUUAUAUCUCUAUUUUCAGAGAAAUCUAUUUUGUCAUAAAAGACCAAAAGAAUUGUUUCUUGAGUUUAUCGAAUU